GCACCGCGAGGCCGGGACACUGGGGGUGGAGGCGGCGGCGGCGAUCCGGAGUCUCCGCCUCGGCAGCGGCUGCGACCGCCGCGGUCUCACCCCAGAAGGCCCCUGCGCCCCACUAGCCAUCCGUGUCCCCCGUGCGGCUGAGGAGGCGGCGGCGGCGGCGAGAGCCGACGGGACGAGGGCGCCAGAGGAGCGGCGGCUCGGAGCGGCAAUGACAUUCCCCCUCACGCCCGCCCCGCCGUGAGGAGCACAAAGGGGGAGGAGCCCCCUGGAGUCCAGGCGGAGCUCAAGCAACCCUUAACUCCGCCCCCUCGCCCAACAGGAACUGGCCCCUCCGCCUGUCACAGAGCGACAGAUGUUCCCUGUUGGGUUUGACGUUAUCUUCUGCUUCCUCUUGGCUGUUUAAUGGCUGGAGGCCUGGUCUGAAAAACAAAAAGACCAGACACCAAUGAAGACAAGUAGUCCAGGUGACCCAGCCUCUCAGAAUGCCUCUGUGUCAGUUUCCUCAAAUUUCUGCAUCCAGAGUAUCUUCAAAGCUGGUGGUUGAGAUGGUCCAGACUCACAGACUCCUCUCAACAGGUCUUCAGAGAAGCCUUGCACUUUCCCAUUGCACAGAGACUGGACAACAAAUGAUACAGCUAGCUCUCCUAGGUCUUGAUCAUUAUCCCAGUUUUCUCAGGGGCACCUAAAGAUGCCAUCACCCCCAGACAACAGAAAAUAGUCUAGAGAAUACAAUGUCCACAUUCUCAAGAGGUGGGGUGAGUGGUUUUUGAUCAUUUGGUGUGUUAUGGAUGUUUGUCAUCAUUUAGGGGGAUUAGUUACAAGUUGUUAUUGGUCAUGGUCAGCAAAAAAGCUAAACAAAGGAGUUUAGAUUCAAUGAUCUCUCUCUGGAGGGAAAAAGGGGGACUAGUAUAGAAUGAUGGGAUAAGAGGAUGGAUUGUCAAGUCUACUUUUGAACAACCACUAGUCUCAAAUAUUUUAUAUUGGUGUGGAUUUUUAUAUAUUGAUACAAAUUUAAGGUUAUUUUUGUUAUAUUGUAUCUAUGUUUUUACUCUUGUUUUAACAUAUUGUGCCUAUGCAACUCAUUUUAAAAUAUAAUGCAUAAUUUAGAAAUACAGGCUAGAAGUUAGUCAUUUAUGAUAAUCAAACUUGUAGUCAUGUUAGGUAUGUUUUCAGGGUCAAACAGAGAUAUAUUUAAAUAGAUAGAUUGUCUUCAAACACUUCAAAGAUCUACAGAAUAUGGCAUUUAAAAUGUAAAAUAACAUAAGGCUUUUCAUGAUAGUGAGACACAUUUGUUCCUGGUAGCACCAAUUUACUUCAAAAAAGGAUGAUAGGCAUGGAAAAACCUCCAUAUGGAGUUUGCUUUCAAUGUGGCAAAGUUAGCUACUUGGCAAGAAACUGCCCUUGCCUCGACUGCUGAUAGUAUGGUGUCCAAAAUGGACAAGCAGGACACAAAAGAAAACAACUGCCGAACUUUGCCAUGACAAGGUAGGAUAGUCCUGAUUCACAAAAAAGUCCAUCAGAUAUUCUAGACCAGUAGGCCAAAGAUGGAUGCCCCAAUGUUGCAGAGAAACCUUGGGUGACAGUCCAAGCAGCUAGAUGUCUGUCAUUUCUAUAGUUUUGGAAAUUGUUUACACUGCAUUUCCUGCUUAAUCAGGUAAUAUUAUAUCCUUCUCAGGUCUCUGAAGGGGUUGAAGAUUAGAUAGUUAUAGUUACAGUUUGAUAGAAAGUAAAUAAGGUACAAAACUUUGGAUUCACUAAAGUAAGAUAGAUAAUGGAGUAUUUACUCUGAAUUUUCCAAAUACUAAUAGAAUGGACAUUGUGAAUGUAUUUUUUACUUGCUAAUUGUUCUUAUUGUAUUUAGUUUUACUGUGUUAGUGUUAAAACCUUCCCUUUUUAUUUAGACAAAAGGGGAAAAUGUUGUGGGAUAUCUGUACAUAUGAAGAUGUAUUGCUGUGAUUGGUGUAAUAAAAAGCUGAACGGCCAAUAGCUAGACAGGAGAGAUAGGUGGGACUUCUAGGUAAAGAGAGAAUGCUGGGAAGAAGGCAGAGUCACCAGCUGGACACAAAGGAAGCAGGACAUGGGAGGAAAGGUAAAGCCAUUAGCCACAUGACAGCACACAGAUUAAUAGAAUGGAUUAAUUUAAGUUAUAAGAGCUCGCUAGAAACAAGCCUAAUCUAAGGCUGAGCUUUCAUAAUUAAUAAAAAGUUUCCAUGUCAUUGUUUGAGAGCUGGUGGCUCAUGAAAAAGCUUACUACAGUUCUUCUGUGUAAGAUGCUUUCAAUUGGCUGGCCAGGGCUCUAGUGUUCUACCCAGACAAAACAAAACCAAACCUGGAUAUGCAAGUAGACAUUCAAGUGCUGCAUUUGGCAGAUUCUGUGCCACUUUCUGCUGCUUUGUGAACAGCAGCAGCAACAGCAGGAGGAGGAGGAGCAGGAGGAGCUAGAGGAGCAGGAACAAUAGGAGGAGGAGCUAGAGGAAGAAGAGCAAGAUGAGGAAGAGCUGGAGGAGGAGGAACAAGAGGAGGAGGAGCAAGAGCAGAAACAAGAGGAUGAAGAGCUGGAGGAAGAAGAACAAGAUGAGGAGGAGCUGGAGGAGGAGGGGCUGCAGGAAGCGGAGCAAGAGGAGGUGGAGGAGCUGGAAGAGCAAGAGGAGGAGGAAGAGGAGGAGCUGGAGAAGAGGAACAAGAAGAGGAGGAAGGGCAGGAGGAGAAAGAGGGGCAGGAAGAGGAGGCAGGUGCUACAGAGGUGGUACACUUCAGUAUUCCAGUUCUCAGGAAGGCCUCAGGCACUGAAACUCUCAGCUUGCAGGUGUUAUAUAGAAGUCAGGGUUCCUUAGCAUUGACAAGAGCUGGUAUUUCAGAUCCCAACAGGCUUGCUAUCAAGAUUCCUCAUUCUAGAGCUACAGCUUGUGUGUUUGUAUCUGGGACCCUUUUCCCCAAAGGAUGACAGCAACCUGGAAUUCCUGGCUCCUUGCAGCCUUUGGUUCUUCUUCAGCCUUCACGCUCUGUCUUCUCUACUUCCAUCCUUGUCUCUGCCUGACUGUUCUCUCAAACUAUUAUAACAGAGGGAGGGGUAUGUUGGUAUGUGCACAUAAGCAAAGGUACACACAGAGGCCAGAAGAGGGUAUCAAAUUCUCUGGAGCUGCUAGACAUUGGUUCUGGGAACCACACUGGUCCUCUGGAAGAGCGUCAAGUGCUCCUAACCCCUGAGCCAUCUCUUCAGCUCUCACCCCUAUUUUAAAAAUAACUGAGUGGUCUGUGUUCGUCGGGGUUUGCUGUAGUGGACAGCUGUUCUGUCUAUAACCUUGAAGCACUACCCCUAGAGAUGCAGCAGGUAACUGCUCCACCAGCCUAUGACCUUGAAUUCCUUCCCCUGAGGCGUGGGCUCUCGGUGACCCUUAACAUGUCCAAGUAGCAAACAGGAGCAAGGAAACAGAGGAGACAUUUGAAAAAGACUUGCCUUUUCUGUUCUUAAAGCUGAGUCCAGCUGAUAUCAGCUGAGCUCAACAGAAUUUCAAACUACUCAUCCCACCAAACCACAACAGAAAAAAAAAAAGAAACACUCGCUGUGAUGUUACUAAGUUCUAGCGUUGGUGUUGUUUCUUAUGCAGCACUGUUGUAUCAGUAGCUGACUCGUGCAUUGUUAUUAGAAGGAAAUGCCAGGAGUCCAAUCGACGAGAGAGAGGAGGGAUUAUAUGAGCAAGAGAUAUCGAGACCAUGACUGAAAAAAGCAUAGGGACAAAUAGCCAAACUAGUGGAAACGCAUGAACUGUGAACCAAUAGCUGAGGAGCCCCCAUGGAACUGGACCAGGCCCUCUGGAUAAGUGAGACAGUUGAUUAGCUUGAACUGUUUAGGAGUCCCCCAGGCAGUGGAGCCGGGACCUGUCCUUGGUGCAUGAGCUGGCUUUUUGGAACCUGGGGCCUAUGCUGAGACACUUUGCUCAACCUUGGUGCAGGGAGGAGGGGACUGGACCUGCCUCAACUGAAUCUACCAGGCUGGGCUGACCCCCCCAGGGGAGACCUUGCUUUG